AUUGAACGCUGGCGGCAGGCCUAACACAUGCGAGUCGAGCGGAUGAAGGGAGCUUGCUCCUGGAUUCAGCGGCGGACGGGUGAGUAAUGCCUAGGAAUCUGCCUGGUAGUGGGGGAUAACGUCCGGAAACGGGCGCUAAUACCGCAUACGUCCUGAGGGAGAAAGUGGGGGAUCUUCGGACCUCACGCUAUCAGAUGAGCCUAGGUCGGAUUAGCUAGUUGGUGGGGUAAAGGCCUACCAAGGCGACGAUCCGUAACUGGUCUGAGAGGAUGAUCAGUCACACUGGAACUGAGACACGGUCCAGACUCCUACGGGAGGCAGCAGUGGGGAAUAUUGGACAAUGGGCGAAAGCCUGAUCCAGCCAUGCCGCGUGUGUGAAGAAGGUCUUCGGAUUGUAAAGCACUUUAAGUUGGGAGGAAGGGCAGUAAGUUAAUACCUUGCUGUUUUGACGUUACCAACAGAAUAAGCACCGGCUAUCUUCGUG
rnacentral:rRNA from 1 species